AGUGAACGCUGGCGGCAGGCCUAACACAUGCAAGCCGAACGGCAGCACAGAGGAGCUUGCUCCUUGGGUGGCGAGUGGCGGACGGGUGAGGAAUGCAUCGGAAUCUGCCUAUUUGUGGGGGAUAACGUAGGGAAACUUACGCUAAUACCGCAUACGUCCUACGGGAGAAAGUGGGGGACCGCAAGGCCUCACGCAGAUAGAUGAGCCGAUGCCGGAUUAGCUAGUUGGCGGGGUAAAGGCCCACCAAGGCGACGAUCCGUAGCUGGUCUGAGAGGAUGAUCAGCCACACUGGAACUGAGACACGGUCCAGACUCCUACGGGAGGCAGCAGUGGGGAAUAUUGGACAAUGGGCGCAAGCCUGAUCCAGCCAUGCCGCGUGUGUGAAGAAGGCCUUCGGGUUGUAAAGCACUUUUGUCCGGAAAGAAAAGCAUUCGAUUAAUACUCGGGUGUUAUGACGGUACCGGAAGAAUAAGCACCGGCUAACUUCGUGCCAGCCGCCGCGGUAACAC
rnacentral:rRNA from 1 species